AUUGAACGCUGGCGGAAUGCUUUACACAUGCAAGUCGAACGGCAGCACGGGGGCAGCCCUGGCGGCGAGUGGCGAACGGGUGAGUAAUACAUCGGAACGUGCCCGGUCGUGGGGGAUAACGUAGCGAAAGUUACGCUAAUACCGCAUACGAUCUGAGGAUGAAAGCGGGGGACCUUCGGGCCUCGCGCGAUCGGAGCGGCCGAUGUCAGAUUAGGUAGUUGGUGGGGUAAAGGCCUACCAAGCCGUCGAUCUGUAGCUGGUCUGAGAGGACGACCAGCCACACUGGGACUGAGACACGGCCCAGACUCCUACGGGAGGCAGCAGUGGGGAAUUUUGGACAAUGGGCGCAAGCCUGAUCCAGCCAUUCCGCGUGCAGGACGAAGGCCUUCGGGUUGUAAACUGCUUUUGUACGGAACGAAAAGGCUCUGGCUAAUACCUGGGGCUCAUGACGGUACCGUAAGAAUAAGCACCGGCUAACUACGUG
rnacentral:rRNA from 1 species